rnacentral:misc_RNA from 1 species
GUGAAUCAUCGAAUCUUUGAACGCACAUUGCGCCCCUUGGUAUUCCAUGGGGCAUGCCUGUUCGAGCGUCAUCUACACCCUCAAGCACUGCUUGGUGUUGGGCGUCUGUCCCGCCUCCGCGCGCGGACUCGCCCCAAAGGCAUUGGCGGCGGUCCACGGCACCUCUCGCGCAGCACAUUGCGCUUCUCGAGGCGGCCCGGCCCGCGACCAUGGAGCCCACAUUUACCGUCUUUGACCUCGGAUCAGGUAGGGAUACCCGCUGAACUUAAGCAUAUCAAUAAGCGGAGGA